UUUGCUGCAACUCAAUGCCUACAAGAGGAAUCUACAGCUCCAAGAGGCCAUUUUAUUUUUCAAUAGUGACUGAGAAAUAUAAAGGGAGGGGAAUAAAAAGAGACACCUACAACACAGCUCCACUACUCAUGAAAGUCCACACCCCUGCAGAUACCAAUGAUGCCACAUUCUUGCUAUGGCCCAGGACAUCAGCGAAGGCCAAGAUGAUCCUUGACUUGUACUGGGCUCAGUCAGCUCCUUGAAAAUGAUCCGACAAACCUGUUUCCAUGUCCUGGCUACCUAGUCACAGAACAGCUCUGCUAAAUUGGAGCAAAUAAAGCAACAAAUGUUCCUUGUU